CACAAUGAUGUCGUAAUUUGCGUCUUACCCCCCACUGUGCGACAGUUGCCUGCUGUCAUAGUGCCAGUGCGGAUGGCUGAUGAAAACACAAAUUCUGAGUG